rnacentral:lncRNA from 1 species
AACUAAGUAAUUAAUUAACACACCAAAUUAAUUAAUAUAAUCGAUUAUUAUACUACCUAACAACCAAUAAAUUAAUUAACACUCCAAAUCAAUAAAAUAAAAUAUAGUAAUAAUAAUAUAAGAAAUAAUUACUAAAAUUGGGUUGUUACAAUGUACCUUUUUCUACUACUGACACUACCUCACCUACUUUUAGGAAGGAGAGUACUCAAGUGCCAUCCACAAGCGAUGCUUUCC